UGGGGAAUAUUGGACAAUGGGCGAAAGCCUGAUCCAGCCAUGCCGCGUGUGUGAAGAAGGCCUUUUGGUUGUAAAGCACUUUAAGUGGGGAGGAAAAGCUUAUGGUUAAUACCCAUAAGCCCUGACGUUACCCACAGAAUAAGCACCGGCUAACUCUGUGCCAGCAGCCACGGUAAUACAGAGGGUGCAAGCGUUAAUCGGAAUUACUGGGCGUAAAGCGAGCGUAGGUGGUCAUUUAAGUCAGAUGUGAAAGCCCCGGGCUUAACCUGGGAACUGCAUCUGAUACUGGAUGACUAGAGUAGGUGAGAGGGAAGUAGAAUUCCAGGUGUAGCGGUGAAAUGCGUAGAGAUCUGGAGGAAUACCGAUGGCGAAGGCAGCUUCCUGGCAUCAUACUGACACUGAGGUUCGAAAGCGUGGGUAGCAAACAGGAUUAGAUACCCUGGUAGUCCACGCCGUAAACGAUGUCUACCAGUCGUUGGGUCUUUUAAAGACUUAGUGACGCAGUUAACGCAAUAAGUAGACCGCCUGGGGAGUACGGCCGCAAGGUUA
rnacentral:rRNA from 1 species